UGCUUGAUGUACUUCCUUGCUUUCCUGCAAGAAAAGCUCAUGUCCUGGACACCAGCGGACUGCACACUGGACACUUCAGGUGUCUCUGAAGCAAAGCUGAGGGGACAGUAUGAAUCAGGAACAGCAGGGCCAGCUGCAGGUACAGGCAAUGUAGGCAGGUUGCCUAUGGAUGCAGAUGUUCAGGGUGGCACAAUGGUCCCAAUAAAGAGCAGCCAAGCUCUA